rnacentral:rRNA from 1 species
GAACGGGUGAGUAAUACAUCGGAACGUGCCCUGUAGUGGGGGAUAGCUCGGCGAAAGCCGGAUUAAUACCGCAUAAGCUCUACGGAGGAAAGCGGGGGACCGCAAGGCCUCGUGCUAUAGGAGCGGCCGAUGGCAGAUUAGCUAGUUGGUGAGGUAAAGGCUCACCAAGGCGACGAUCUGUAGCUGGUCUGAGAGGACGACCAGCCACACUGGGACUGAGACACGGCCCAGACUCCUACGGGAGGCAGCAGUGGGGAAUUUUGGACAAUGGGCGAAAGCCUGAUCCAGCAAUGCCGCGUGUGUGAAGAAGGCCUUCGGGUUGUAAAGCACUUUUGUUCGGGAAGAAAGUAUUCGUGCUAAUACCAUGGAUAGAUGACGGUACCGGAAGAAUAAGCACCGGCUAACUACGUGCCAGCAGCCGCGGUAAUACGUAGGGUGCGAGCGUUAAUCGGAAUUACUGGGCG